CCUACGGGAGGCAGCAGUGGGGAAUAUUGCACAAUGGGGGAAACCCUGAUGCAGCGACGCCGCGUGAGCGAUGAAGUAUUUCGGUAUGUAAAGCUCUAUCAGCAGGGAAGAAAAUGACGGUACCUGACUAAGAAGCCCCGGCUAACUACGUGCCAGCAGCUGCUGUAAUACGUAGGGGGCAAGCGUUAUCCGGAUUUACUGGGCGUAAAGGGAGCGUAGACGGCGAUGCAAGCCAGAUGUGAAAGCCCGGGGCUCAACCUCGGGACUGCAUUUGGAACUGUAUAGCUGGAGUGUCGGCGCGGUAGGCGGAAUUCCUAGUGUAGCGGUGAAAUGCGUAGAUAUUAGAAGGAACACCAGUGGCGAAGGCGGCCUGCUGGACGAUGACUGACGUUGAGGCUCGAAAGCGUGGGGAGCAAACAGGAUUAGAUACCCGUGUAGUC
rnacentral:rRNA from 1 species